rnacentral:rRNA from 1 species
AUUGAACGCUGGCGGAAUGCUUUACACAUGCAAGUCGAACGAUGAACCUUAGCUUGCUAAGGGGAUUAGUGGCGAACGGGUGAGUAAUAUAUCGGAACGUGCCUUGUAAUGGGGGAUAACUAGUCGAAAGAUUAGCUAAUACCGCAUACGCCCUGAGGGGGAAAGUAGGGGAUCUUCGGACCUUACGUUAUAAGAGCGGCCGAUAUCUGAUUAGCUAGUUGGUGGGGUAAUGGCCUACCAAGGCGACGAUCAGUAGCUGGUCUGAGAGGACGACCAGCCACACUGGAACUGAGACACGGUCCAGACUCCUACGGGAGGCAGCAGUGGGGAAUUUUGGACAAUGGGCGCAAGCCUGAUCCAGCCAUGCCGCGUGAGUGAAGAAGGCCUUCGGGUUGUAAAGCUCUUUCGCAAGGGAAGAAAACUUACCAUCGAAUAAAUGGUGAGGCUGACGGUACCUUGAUAAGAAGCACCGGCUAACUACGUG